GACCUGGACAACUACUCAAUGGGACCUAACUAUAUGUGGCACGCAGAUGGUUAUGACAAACUUAAGCCAUUCGGUUUGGCCAUUUCGGGAUGCAUAGAUGGAUUUUCACGUAAAGUAUUGUGGCUUCAAUGUGGACCAACAAAUAAUAACCCAACAGUGAUUGCUCACUAUUUCAUGUCAUGUGUGCGAAACCUCGGUGUCAUCCCCAUGAGACUGAGGACUGAUUGCGGCACUGAGAACGGCAUAAUGGCUGCAAUUCAAUGUACCCUACGCCACCAUCACAGUGACUACUACUCUGGAGCGUCCAGCCACAUGUACGGCUCAUCUAUAAAUAACCAGCGUAUUGAGUCCUGGUGGUCUAUAUUUAGAAAGGGAAGGUCUCAGUUCUAGAUGGAGUUAUUUGCCGACCUUAGAGAUGCCGGAUACUUCAACGGAGUCAUGAGCAUCAAUGCCUAUUGAGAUAUUGCUUUGGUGAUGUUAUUCAGAAGGACUUGGAUGAGUGUGUGAGACUGUGGAACAGCCACAGGAUUCGCCCUUCCAGAACAGCAGCAUGUCCAGGAGGAGUGCCCAAUGAACUCUACUACUUACCACACAGGUUUGGCUCCAGAGACUGCGGAUUUCAAAGUGAACUAGCU